rnacentral:rRNA from 1 species
UACGUAGGGCGCAAGCGUUAUCCGGAAUUAUUGGGCGUAAAGAGCUCGUAGGCGGUUUGUCGCGUCGAAUGUGAAAUCCCGGGGCUCAACCCCGGGCCUGCAUUCGAUACGGGCAGACUAGAGUUCGGUAGGGGAGUCUGGAAUUCCUGGUGUAGCGGUGAAAUGCGCAGAUAUCAGGAGGAACACCGAUGGCGAAGGCAGGUCUCUGGGCAUUAACUGACGCUGAGGAGCGAAAGCAUGGGGAGCGAACAGG